CAAAAGAGAUUUAUUGAAAAAAUGCUACAGAUGGAAGUUUUUGAUAAAAAAAAUUAGACGAGAAAUUUUACUAAAAAAGUUAUAAGCUGAAGAGAGUGUUUUUGUAAUUUGUCCUUUUUUUAAUUAGAUUUUUUAUUUAUAAAUUUGUCUAGUAAUAAAUAUGAAUCUCAAUUUGAACUAAAAACGAAAAAAGAAAAAGAAAAUGUAUUAAGUUGAUUAGUCAUACCAUCCAUUGAAAAUAAUAUAUUAAGAAAAAAAAUUGAAUUCAUGCCCUAACAAUCCUCACACACCCCUAUAUAUAGAAUACCCUAUCCUUUCAAAACCCUGCGCCGCGUGCGCCGUGGUCGAGUCAUUACUCCACCAGCACGCCCCAGACUAGACGCGACGGUUCUUCUCUUUCACUUUCCCAACCCUAAUUUGCAAAAACCUUCGGCUUCCACGAGUCACUAGCUCAGACAUCCCAGUCUCCGAAGGAUGGAUCCAUAUCGGAACUCGCAGGCCCUAGUCAAUGAAAAGCUUAAAAGUGCUGAGAUCGAUGGAUCUCAUUUACCUGUCACUUCAUCAUCAUCCAAACUACUUCUUCCAUUGUAUCACAAUAAAAAAUUUCCGAAGUUUGAAAGUUUGGCAUUCAAACUAGCCAUGUUAGAUCCUUUAACUGCUCGGAUUCAAAUUUUCACAAGGUCUUGAGAUUCCUUAGAGAUGAUGAUGGCCACGGGGUGGGAAUCAUCAGGAUAUACGGAAUGGCGGGAGUAGGAAAGACAACCAUCUUGAAGAAACUCGACAAUGAACUUGCAAAUCAGUCAUAUGGCAAAUUUGAUGAGGUGAUAUGGGUUGUGUUGUCCAAAGGUCAAAAUAGUGUGGAGAGCAUUCAAGAUAAAAUUGAAAAAAAGCUAAGUUUUCAAGUGGACAAAUGGAGGGAUUCAAGCCAAGAUGAGAACAAACAAGAAAUCUUUAGAAUUUUUAAAAUGAAGAUAUUUGUGUUACUUUUGGAUGACAUAAGGAAGCAGAUUAAUCCUCCUGAAGUGGGAAUUCCACUUCAAUACAAUCAAAACAAGGCCAAGCUAGUAUUCACCACUCGUUCUAAGAAAAUGUGUCGUCUUAUGGAAGCUAAGAUUAAAGCAGAAUGUUUGGCACGGCAGGAAGCUUGGGAUUUGCUAAAGAUAGGUGGGAGAAGAGACCCUAUCACAGAAGAUGUUUGCAAAGAGUACGGCGGUUUUCAAUCGGUGCUGGUUACAAUUGGAUUAGUUCCAAUGGAAAACAAAUAAUAUUUUGUACACAGGAGCAAUGAGCAAGAGGACAUUCAACUUUUGGAGACGAAGCUCUUUGGAAUGGUUCACACUUUAUACUACCAUUUAAAACAUAUUACAUAUAUAUUCUUAAUUACUUAUUUAUCUAUGUGUAUAUCUUUGUGUGUGUAAGAGUAAAAACUUUCUUUAGCAUAUUCUUCUUUGGUUAUUCUAAACAUCUCUGUUUUAUACUACAGGCCCUAGUCAAUGAUGAAAAGCUUCAAAGUGCAAAAGCUUCAUAGUGUUGAGAUUGAUGAGUACAUGUACCAUGAAUCUCGUUUAGCCAACACUUCUUCAUCAUCUUUUAUUACUUCUUCCAUUGCAUUACGAUAAAAAAAAUUCAGAAGUUUGAAGGUUUGACACGCGAACUAGCCAUGUUAGAUCCUUCAGCUGUGACCAAUUGUAACUACUGCCAAUGGAAAACCGUCACAUUCUUUGCAAACAUCUUCUGCGAGCUUCAGUAGUAGAGGAUCUAAAUUGAGGGUCUCUUCUCCAACCUAUCUUUAAACAAAUCCCAGGCUUCCUGUCAUGCCAAACAUUUUGUUUUAAUCUUCUUUUUGCUUCCAUAGGACCACACACUUCCUUGGAUCGGGUGGUGAAUACUACCUUGGUCUUGUUUUGAUUGUUUGAAAAUGGAAUUCCCAUUUCAAGAAGAUCAAUCCGCUUCCAUAUGUCAUCCAAAAGUAAUACAAAUCUCUUCAUUUUCAAAAGCCUUGUUUUUUCUCAUCUUGGCUUUGAUCCCUCCAUUUGUCCUCUGAAAACCUAGUUUUUUUCCAAUUUUAUCUUGAAUGCUCUCCACACUGUUUUGACCUUUAGACACCACAACCCAUAUCACCUCAUCAAAUUUGCCACGUGAUUGAUUUGCAAGCUCAUUGUUGAGUUUCUUCAAGAAGGUUGUCUUUCCUACUCCCGCCAUUCCGUAUAUCCCGAUGAUUCCCACCCCAUGGCCAUCAUCAUCUCUAAGGAAGCUCAAGACCACCUGAAAAUUUGAAGGCUAGUUUGCGCGCCAAACUUUCGAACUUUGUAAAUUUCUGAUUGUGAUGCAAUGGAAGAAGUAAUAAAAGAUGCGGAUUGCAGUACUGAUGAUCAUAUUGGUAGGGAAGGAAGCAUAUUGGUAGGGAAGGAAGUUUUGAGUGUAUUCGCAAAGCUACAUAGAUUCUGCUUCACCUACGAAAGCUAAAGAGCACCUACGGUCAUCCAUUGCCCUUACCUACCUUCUAUGAUUGAAGUCGAACUAAAUUACUGUCUGAAGCUUAACAAACUUCCUUUUCACUCAAUCACUCCAAUAGCAGUGUUUGGUGGCUGUUGCCUAUAAUUUUCUACCAAAAAAUGCUCCAUUGAAACUGUUGUGUAGUUUCUUCAAUCUUAAAUUUUCGCCUACUUAUGUCUGAUGGUUGGAUGUUUUGUACAAACAGUUUCCGUAAUCUUAAAUUCUUUCAUCCUGGCUGUAUGUCUUGUGCUUAGAUGUUUGUACAAACAGUACAAUGUUGUAAAUGUAUUCCUUUUAUUAAUGCUCUAUGUUCCAUUUGCUACUA